rnacentral:rRNA from 1 species
AUGCAGUCGAGCGGAACGAGUUAUCUGAACCUUCGGGGAACGAUAACGGCGUCGAGCGGCGGACGGGUGAGUAAUGCCUAGGAAAUUGCCCUGAUGUGGGGGAUAACCAUUGGAAACGAUGGCUAAUACCGCAUAAUACCUUCGGGUCAAAGAGGGGGACCUUCGGGCCUCUCGCGUCAGGAUAUGCCUAGGUGGGAUUAGCUAGUUGGUGAGGUAAUGGCUCACCAAGGCGACGAUCCCUAGCUGGUCUGAGAGGAUGAUCAGCCACACUGGAACUGAGACACGGUCCAGACUCCUACGGGAGGCAGCAGUGGGGAAUAUUGCACAAUGGGCGCAAGCCUGAUGCAGCCAUGCCGCGUGUGUGAAGAAGGCCUUCGGGUUGUAAAGCACUUUCAGUCGUGAGGAAGGUAGUGUAGUUAAUAGCUGCAUUAUUUGACGUUAGCGACAGAAGAAGCACCGGCUAACUCCGUGCCAGCAGCCGCGGUAAUACGGAGGGUGCGAGCGUUAAUCGGAAUUACUGGGCGUAAAGCGCAUGCAGGUGGUUUGUUAAGUCAGAUGUGAAAGCCCGGGGCUCAACCUCGGAAUAGCAUUUGAAACUGGCAGACUAGAGUACUGUAGAGGGGGGUAGAAUUUCAGGUGUAGCGGUGAAAUGCGUAGAGAUCUGAAGGAAUACCGGUGGCGAAGGCGGCCCCCUGGACAGAUACUGACACUCAGAUGCGAAAGCGUGGGGAGCAAACAGGAUUAGAUACCCUGGUAGUCCACGCCGUAAACGAUGUCUACUUGGAGGUUGUGGCCUUGAGCCGUGGCUUUCGGAGCUAACGCGUUAAGUAGACCGCCUGGGGAGUACGGUCGCAAGAUUAAAACUCAAAUGAAUUGACAGGGGCCCGCACAAGCGGUGGAGCAUGUGGUU